rnacentral:piRNA from 1 species
UGAAUGCGAAGGGCUGUGGAAGCUCGGGGU